AACAACAUGUAAUUAAAUUCAUGUUUAUUUCUGGGCUAAGCGUGGUUUAUUUGUAGUCGGUCUAUUUAUGAGCUAAAUUGUGACUACGUACAGACGAUGCAUAAAACACUUUAAAGAAAUGAAACGAAAUACCUUGUAAUCGCUGUUAACUUUGCUUACAUGAUGAAAUAGCAUACAUCUCACAAAUUAUUUUGUCAAAAACCACAUGUAACCAAAUUAAAGUUUAUUUGGGCUAGAAGUGGGCUAGGCACAGCCCGGCUAUAUCGGGCCUAUACUGAAACGAGACGUUGAAAUGACGGCUAUUGCUUGCUGGGAGCACACAGUCAGAGCCGGAUUAAAUAAAUGGACUACACUAGGCAGGCUGCAUUUUUUGCCCCCCCCCAUCGAGGUUAUUUAUGAAUUGAAAUCUGAAACUUACCAAAGUUACUAAUAAAAGUGAAUUCACAUUUUACAUAGCCUAGUCUUUGCUUACAAAUUGGUUGUUUGUAUACCAAAUUAAGUCAUAUGUUGUAUAUUAACCAGUCUAUCAGACAAUUUUUUGCUAAAUUUAUUAUUUAUACGUCAUUACACGGCUCUAUUAAAUGCUAUUAAAUUAUCCUCACCUUAUCCAUUGGGAGUGUCAUUGUUAAGGCAGUAGUACCAGUAAAUAACCAAUAGCUGUCAGUAAUCUGCGGGAGAGCUUCGCUGCAUAUUUCUCUUCAAGAUUGAGAAUCGCAACGAAAUCCUCGUCGAGCAACACGUCCACUGAGCAACCAUGUCUGUGUCCUUAAAGAAACUCUGUCAGGUACAGAUUAGAACCAUGAACUUGAAAAUCAACCAUUCUGAUGACUGGCGUCCCCAUCCGAGUCACCACCUCAGACAACAACAGUCAUAAACUCACAAACACAAAUACACUCAGUAAUGGGCUUAAUAAAGAAAGACUUAACUAUGAUUUUAUCUGUGUUAACCUAUGAUAUCAGUUAUUGAUGUAUUUUAAAUAUUUACGUAUUACUAGGCUUAUCAUACAUGCAUUGAAGUUUUAAAAUGUAUCUAAUAUAAUACUGUAAUUAAAUUGAAUGUUUUGGAUACCACCAUUAAAUUAUUUUGUGCAUGUAAAACACAA